UGCGUAGGCGGUUAGUUAAGUCUGUUGUGAAAUCCCCGGGCUCAACCUGGGAAUGGCAAUGGAUACUGGCAAGCUAGAGUGUGUCAGAGGAUGGUGGAAUUUCCGGUGUAGCGGUGAAAUGCGUAGAGAUCGGAAGGAACAUCAGUGGCGAAGGCGGCCAUCUGGGACAACACUGACGCUGAAGCACGAAAGCGUGGGAGCAAACA
rnacentral:rRNA from 1 species